rnacentral:rRNA from 1 species
AUUGAACGCUGGCGGCAGGCCUAACACAUGCAAGUCGAGCGAGCGGCGGACGGGUGAGUAAUGUAUGGGGACUGCCCGAUAGAGGGGGAUAACUACUGGAAACGGUAGCUAAUACCGCAUACUAUCGGAUAACUCAUAGGGGAGUAGCUAGUAGGUGAGGUAAUGGCUCACCUAGGCGACCAACCCUAGCUGGUCUGAGAGGAUGAUCAGCCACACGGGGACUGAGACACGGCCCAGACUCGUACGGAGGCAGCAGUGGGGAAUAUUGCACAAUGGGCGCAAGCCUGAUUCAGCGAUGCCGCGUGUAUGAAGAAGGCCUUAGGGUUGUAAAGUACUUUCAGUCGGGAGGCGUUACCGACAGAAGAAGCACCGGCUAACUCCGUGCCAGCCGCCGCGGUAAUUC